AUCAUUACGUUAGAUCAGCACUGUCACCCUUUCGUCGCAUGCUGGGGUAGAGGCACGUACGUAAAAUCAUGAUCGACACUAGCCGGUCAUAUAAAUCAACAGUCUUUGAUGAGUUACA